rnacentral:rRNA from 1 species
CCUACGGGGGGCUGCAGUGGGGAAUAUUGGACAAUGGGGGCAACCCUGAUCCAGCCAUGCCGCGUGUGUGAAGAAGGCCCUCGGGUUGUAAAGCACUUUCAGUGAGGAAGAACGCCUGGUGGUUAAUACCCAUCAGGAAAGACAUCACUCACAGAAGCAGCACCGGCUAACUCCGUGCCAGCAGCCGCGGUAAUACGGAGGGUGCGAGCGUUAAUCGGAAUUACUGGGCGUAAAGCGCGCGUAGGUGGCUUGAUAAGCCGGUUGUGAAAGCCCCGGGCUCAACCUGGGAACGGCAUCCGGAACUGUCAAGCUAGAGUGCAGGAGAGGAAGGUAGAAUUCCCGGUGUAGCGGUGAAAUGCGUAGAGAUCGGGAGGAAUACCAGUGGCGAAGGCGGCCUUCUGGACUGACACUGACACUGAGGUGCGAAAGCGUGGGUAGCAAACAGGAUUAGAUACCCUGGUAGUC